AACGAACGCUGGCGGCAGGCUUAACACAUGCAAGUCGAGCGCCCCGCAAGGGGAGCGGCAGACGGGUGAGUAACGCGUGGGAACGUACCUUUUGGUUCGGAACAACUCCGGGAAACUGGAGCUAAUACCGGAUAAGCCCUAACGGGGAAAGAUUUAUCGCCGAAAGAUCGGCCCGCGUCUGAUUAGCUAGUUGGUGAGGUAACGGCUCACCAAGGCGACGAUCAGUAGCUGGUCUGAGAGGAUGAUCAGCCACACUGGGACUGGGACACGGCCCAGACUCCUACGGGAGGCAGCAGUGGGGAAUAUUGGACAAUGGGCGCAAGCCUGAUCCAGCCAGGCCGCGUGAGUGAUGAAGGCCUUAGGGUUGUAAAGCUCUUUUGUCCGGGAAGAUAAUGACUGUACCGGAAGAAUAAGCCCCGGCUAACUUCGUG
rnacentral:rRNA from 1 species